rnacentral:rRNA from 1 species
AGGGCGGACGGCCACACUGGGACUGAGACACGGCCCAGACUCCUGCGGGAGGCAGCAGUGGGGAAUAUUGCACAAUGGGGGAAACCCUGAUGCAGCGACGCCGCGUGAAGGAAGAAGUAUCUCGGUAUGUAAACUUCUAUCAGCAGGGAAGAAAACAGACGGUACCUGACUAAGAAGCCCCGGCUAACUACGUGCCAGCAGCCGCGGUAAUACGUAGGGGGCAAGCGUUAUCCGGAUUUACUGGGUGUAAAGGGGGCGCAGACGGCCAUGGCAAGCCCGGUGUGAAAGGCAGGGGCAUAACCCCUGGACUGCACUGGGAACUGUCAGGCUGGAGUGCCGGAGGGGUAAGCGGAAUUCCUGGUGUAGCGGUGAAAUG